AUUGAACGCUGGCGGCAGGCCUAACACAUGCAAGUCGAACGAGUGGCGGACGGGUGAGUAAUUUCUGGGAAACUGCCCGAUGGAGGGGGAUAACUACUGGAAACGGUAGCUAAUACCGCAUACCAUCGGAUGUGCCCAGAUGGGAUUAGCUAGUAGGGGGGGUAACGCCUCACCUAGGCGACGAUCCCUAGCUGGUCUGAGAGGAUGACCAGCCACCCGGGAACUGAGACACGGUCCAGACUCCUACGGGAGGCAGCAGUGGGGAAUAUUGCACAAUGGGCGAAAGCCUGAUGCAGCCAUGCCGCGUGUAUGAAGAAGGCCUUCGGGUUGUAAAGUACUGUCAGCGAGGAAGCGUUACUCACCGAAGAAGCACCGGCUAACUCCGUGCCAGCAGCCGCGGUAAUAC
rnacentral:rRNA from 1 species